UGGGGAAUAUUGCACAAUGGGCGAAAGCCUGAUGCAGCGACGACGCGUGAGGGAUGACGGCCUUCGGGUUGUAAACCUCUUUCAGCAGGGACGAAGCGCAAGUGACGGUACCUGCAGAAGAAGCACCGGCUAACUACGUGCCAGCAGCCGCGGUAAUACGUAGGGUGCAAGCGUUGUCCGGAAUUACUGGGCGUAAAGAGUUCGUAGGCGGUUUGUCGCGUCGUUUGUGAAAACCAGCAGCUCAACUGCUGGCUUGCAGGCGAUACGGGCAGACUUGAGUACUGCAGGGGAGACUGGAAUUCCUGGUGUAGCGGUGAAAUGCGCAGAUAUCAGGAGGAACACCGGUGGCGAAGGCGGGUCUCUGGGCAGUAACUGACGCUGAGGAACGAAAGCGUGGGUAGCGAACAGG
rnacentral:rRNA from 1 species